UGCGUUGGGGCUUGCUGCUGCGGAGGAUGACGAAGAGGAGCAACAGCGCUCGGGCCUUCCCUAAGGAGUAGUGAACACGGCAACGCGGCUCAGAAGUUACCGCCUAAAAGCAUGAUCGGAUUUCACGUGCCUCCUCGCGGAGGAGGCGAAGGGCCCACACGCUGCUGCUCAGUGCAGUCUGAAAAACAGGAAACUGAAGUUAUCACCAAAAAUACCUAGCUUUUUCUUUCAAAGUUCUCCCUCUGCUCUUGCAGUAUUUUUGCAAAAGACAACCUCCCACCAAACGCACCAAAAAAUCAAACUCUCCAUGCACAUGCUUCAGUGACAGUUUCCAACCUGAAGUUUAGAAGAUACCAGCCACUAGGCUGAGUUUCCUAGAAGUAUUUCUAAACUGUAAACAGCUCAAUUUUUAAUGAAAUUUGAUUCCAAAACAACUAAAGAAACAGGAUCUGAUGACAUAAGGGGAAGGGAAAAAGAAAAGAGGGGGGAGGGAGAAAUUACUCUCUGUAAAAGCAGCAGUAAGUUCUUGAUGGAUGCUGAAACAAAUUACAAUAACCAUCAAGUAAGAGUCAUCUAUAGAAUACAAUGCAGGAUUCCACAUACAAAGUCUGAGGACCUAGCCAUCUGAAGAGGGAAUCUACUUCAAGAAAGGCUUCAGAAAACUUAAAAGUCCAAACAUUUAAACAGCUCAGUGGGAGUUAAUCACCUUUAAGUUAUAAAAGUAUGCUGGCAAAGCCACAUGACCACUAUGCCCUGUUUUAUGGCCAAGAUCUUGCCCUUUCCACAAGAGAAACAAGAAUUCUGAUUGACCAAGAUCCAAGGACAGAAUAACCUCCUAUGAGAAGUUACAGCUGAGCCAGCUUUGUGAUGUUCUCUUCUGAACAUCCCCCCAGAUGAAGAAAAUCUCAAGACUGGUAAGGCUGGAAUCCAAGCAAUGUGAAGCUGCUAAAUAAGCAUAAAAGCAAAAGACCCACAUAUAUUGUGAAAAGAGUCAGAAACAUCAAUAAAGGAAAAAAAGAAAAAGGUUAUAGGAUGAUACAUGACAUUAAAUAACUGGAGAGGUGAUACUAGGAUGAUAGUAGAUGAUACUAAAAACUCCUUUUCUGUUCAGACAGAUGGCCUCAAAAGCAUACCAAGAUUAUACAAGAAAAAGCUUUAACUCAUUUUGGAGAAGCUCUUCAUGUACAGGAAUUAGAUGCUUCCAAAGUCUCUGCACAACUCAGUACUGUGAAAAAAUUAUUUUAACAACCUAAUGUUAUAGCCAUUGUUCAAUGCUUCCAGAGAGGGAAGGAAAUCUCAAGCCUCAAAAUCAUUAAGGUUUGAAGAUUUUCUCUAGCCAGAAACUUCAAGACUGACUACUCUCUACUUCUAAAGGAUGGAGCCUAAGAAUCAGAACUUUCAAGAUGCCAAUUCAGAACCUGGCAGAACUUCUUGCAAGGAAGCAGAAACAGGCAGAUGCAUCUCAGACAGAUCUUCUCAGGCAGAUGCGUCAAAUCUGCAUUCCUGACUGACUCAGUAUAUAGCAUUGGCAGGGCAAUGAAGAACAUCUUUGAUAUUCCUCAUCUGUCUUUAUUAGUAAACAGGAGGAAGACAAAACCAAAAGAACAUUUGGAUCAAAUAGCAGUAAACUGUUUUUUUUUAAAAACAAACAAACAAACAAAAACAAAAAAACCUCUGUAUCCAGAACGUAGCAAUGGGUUCACUGAAAUAAGUGCUGCAGCCUGCCGUCUCCAGCACUACAGCUAUCUUUUUGGGAAGCUUUUAUGAAGCAUUAAAGAAUUCUGUGCAGUUCUAAUAACUUUUCUGGCCAGUUCCAUUUCCCCUUCUCCUACCUCCUCUCCAGCAACUCCAGGAGAGGAGAGAGUCAUCACUCAUUAGAAAAAUUACUGUAAAAUAGACCUGACCCACUCUACUGAAGCAUACAUUUCUGGUUUCUAAACCGAAUCUUAAGAGAAUUUGCAUUUAUGAGCAUUUUAGGCUGAGAGGGAAAGUCUAUGGUUCUUUGCUCGUAUCACUACUUUGAUAUGGCUAUGCAACUCACUGUUUCAGACUGAAAGCCUAUUUUUACAAGAAAGUCUGCUGGUGCUGGUCACAUUCAAUUCACGGAAGUUUGCAGAGUUCCACUCUGGGCAGAUAUCACACUCCCCAGCAUAAGGUGAAACUGUGAUGGUAUUCAUACUUGUGUAAAUUCUCACCAAUUCCUCCAUCCACAUAGCGCUAGAAAGAUUAACAGAAGUAAAAAGUCUGAAAGGCUUGGAGAUAAGAGAAGAAUAAUGAAGCUAAUUACAACCAGGUUACACUAGGGGUUUAUCUUCCACAGAAAUACAAAUUUCUUGAAAAUUUCAGUAUUUGUUUUUACUUUUCUUAAUUCUUCCCAGCUAUCUUACAAGUCUGCCGUUCCUGCUCAUUUUCAUCUACUUUUUACUAUUAUAACCUUCUCUGUCCAGACUCUAAAAACGUAGUCUUUCUCCCAAAGUUUUCUAGUUCCUACCCACCGCAUCUGAUUUAGAACAUUUGGAGCAAGCUUCUCUUCCCUUUUCUUCCUGAUUGCUCCUGCUACUGUGGAGCAGAGCAGAAACAAGGUCUCUGUUCUCCAUUCAGUGGCUGUUCUGUAACCUUCCCCAAAAAGUACAAGCCUAUUAGGAGGCAACAGCUCUUCACCUACCCCAAGCAGUCACUGAUCAAUUAAAAACAAACAAACUCCUGACAAUGUACUUUAGGAGAAGAAAAAACCCUAAGGAUUAGAAACAGCAAAACCUGUUUUGUGUUAUCCUUGAGAAAACUAUUAAAUCUUGUUUUGAGAGCGAAA